rnacentral:piRNA from 1 species
UGAGGCCUCUUUAGUUGAUUCUGUGGG